rnacentral:lncRNA from 1 species
UUCCAUAAUAGCACAGCAGCUCCUGUUGGGGUUGUGUGGCAUAUGGCUGAAUUGAUUCUACAGUGAUGUUCAGUGCCCAGCAAUGUUUAAAUAUUUCACAGAUAGACCUAACAUAGGAAAUCAUGGCACCUAUUCUUAAGAGAAGGAGGGAGGAUGAGUAUCUUGGAAACAUAGAAAGAAAAAAGGAUUUUUUCCCUGCUAAGGCUGAGAAUCUGUUAAAACCUUAUGCAACUUUGUGGAGUUUUUCAGUCAAUUCACACAACUGUUAUUUCAGGACAAGAAAUCAGAGAAAGGAUGAAUGCAUGAACAGUUAAUAGAACCACACUGAGAACAAAGCAGUAAUGACCUCUAGGUGCUUCAAAGAUGUCAGAAUUUUUUAUUUUCAUGCCUUUAAAAUUAUCAUCUUGCUCUGAUGACCUGAAGAUAAGUAUCCUUACCUCCAGCUCCUGAUCUUUUCUUCAAAACAUACAUCCCCUCUCAGCUGCAGAUCUGACCUGGGUCAGUUCCCAUGGCCUUUCCCUAAGAGGUCCUGACAUCAGUGCCUGGCCAUUAGCCCUGGCCGCCUAACUUACAGUACUCAUAUCAUUUUCCACAUCCUGGGAUUGUUAACAUCACAUCAUUCAGUUCACUGGACGUUUCUAUCAUUAUUCUAAGCAGAAUUCCGUGACAUUUUAGUGGUUUUGUUUUGGGUCAUUUCAGUCCUCUGACCUGAAGCUGCUGGUAAUCCACACAACAGACUUUGCAUUCUGACGUACACAGGUACACAGAUAUUCGUGUUACACAUAAAAUACUACUGUAUCUCUGGAAAUAAACAUGAAAAGAGUUUUGAAAUGCCAGGUUUUGAGAGUCUAUUUGUGAGGCUGCAGAACUUUACAACUAUCAGCAAGGUAUACAAACUAUCACCAGUUAAUACGGUUUAACUGUCCUUUUCAAUCAGACCUUUGCAGUUUAGAGAUAGCACCCCCAUGUCCCAUCUGAGGAGACCAAAGCAGGAAGCUAAUGUCCCUUCUAAAGCAACACCUACUAUAAGGAUCAAACCUGCUGAGAAUUCAGGAAUGCUAACAAAACCUAAAAGUAUUUUGCUGAUGGGCAUUCCGAUACUUGUAGCCAUAUCUAAGGAAGGAUCUUUUACCACUAAACUGCUUGAAACUGAAAAUGAACAUACUGCAGAGUCUAGGAUUGAUGCCAGAACUGCGAGUUCUCUGCUUAUCUACAGAACAGGUACAGUCGAAGUAUAA